AGCGAACGCUGGCGGCAGGCUUAACACAUGCCAGUCGAACGAACCUUCCCGGGUUAGUUGCGGUCGGGUGAUUAACACCUGGUAACUUACCUUUAGGUUCGCUACCACUCAGUGAAACUUGUGCUCAUACCGCAUGUGCCCUUCGUGGGUAAGAUUACUCGCCUCUUGAGCGGCUUGUGUCUGAUUAGCUGGUUGGUUGAGGUAAUGGCUCACCAAGGCGACGAUCAGUAGCUGUUACGAGCAGAUGAUCAGCCACAUUGGAGCUGAGACACGGCCCAAAAUGCGACGGAGGGCAGGAGUAGAGAGUCUUGCGCAAUGAGCGAAAGCCUAACGCAGCCAUGCCGCGUGAAUGAUGAAGGGGUUAGGAUUGUAAAAUUCUUUCACAGGGAACGAUAAUGACGGUACCCGGAGAAGAAGCCCCGGCUAACUUCGUG
rnacentral:rRNA from 1 species